AUGCCGCGUGAGUGAUGAAGGCCUUAGGGUCGUAAAGCUCUUUCGCCAGGGAUGAUAAUGACAGUACCUGGUAAAGAAACCCCGGCUAACUCCGUGCCAGCAGCCGCGGUAAUACGGAGGGGGUUAGCGUUGUUCGGAAUUACUGGGCGUAAAGCGCGCGUAGGCGGAUUGGAAAGUUGGGGGUGAAAUCCCGGGGCUCAACCCCGGAACUGCCUUUGAAACUGUCGGUCUAGAGUUCGAGAGAGGUGAGUGGAAUUCCGAGUGUAGAGGUGAAAUUCGUAGAUAUUCGGAGGAACACCAGUGGCGAAGGCGGCUCACUGGCUCGAUACUGACGCUGAGGUGCGAAAGUGUGGGGAGCAAACAGGAUUAGAUACCCUGGUAGUCCACA
rnacentral:rRNA from 1 species